rnacentral:rRNA from 1 species
UAACGCGUGGGUAACCUGCCCUGUACACACGGAUAACAUACCGAAAGGUAUGCUAAUACGAGAUAAAGUACUUUUAUCGCAUGGUAGAAGUAUCAAAGCUUUUGCGGUACAGGAUGGACCCGCGUCUGAUUAGCUAGUUGGUAAGGUAACGGCUUACCAAGGCGACGAUCAGUAGCCGACCUGAGAGGGUGAUCGGCCACAUUGGAACUGAGACACGGUCCAAACUCCUACGGGAGGCAGCAGUGGGGAAUAUUGCACAAUGGGCGAAAGCCUGAUGCAGCAACGCCGCGUGAGCGAUGAAGGCCUUCGGGUCGUAAAGCUCUGUCCUCAAGGAAGAUAAUGACGGUACUUGAGGAGGAAGCCCCGGCUAACUACGUGCCAGCAGCCGCGGUAAUACGUAGGGGGCUAGCGUUAUCCGGAAUUACUGGGCGUAAAGGGUGCGUAGGUGGUUUCUUAAGUCAGAGGUGAAAGGCUACGGCUCAACCGUAGUAAGCCUUUGAAACUGGGAAACUUGAGUGCAGGAGAGGAGAGUGGAAUUCCUAGUGUAGCGGUGAAAUGCGUAGAUAUUAGGAGGAACACCAGUUGCGAAGGCGGCUCUCUGGACUGUAACUGACACUGAGGCACGAAAGCGUGGGGAGCAAACAGGAUUAGAUACCCUGGUAGU